rnacentral:rRNA from 1 species
UACAGGGGGGGCAAGCGUUGUUCGGAAUUACUGGGCGUAAAGGGCUCGUAGGCGGCCAACUAAGUCCGACGUGAAAUCCCAAAGCUUAACUUUGGAACUGCGUCGGAUACUGGAUGGCUUGAAUUCGGGAGAGGGAUGCAGAAUUCCAGGUGUAGCGGUGAAAUGCGUAGAUAUCGGAAGGAACACCAGUGGCGAAAGCGGCUUCCUGGUGCCAGCACCGACGUCAGGCACGAAAGCGUGGGGAGCAAACAGG